rnacentral:rRNA from 1 species
AUUGAACGCUGGCGGCAUGCCUUACACAUGCAAGUCGAACGGUAACAGGUCUUCGGAUGCUGACGAGUGGCGAACGGGUGAGUAAUACAUCGGCACGUGCCCGAUCGUGGGGGAUAACGGAGCGAAAGCUUUGCUAAUACCGCAUACGAUCUACGAAUCAAAGCAGGGGAACGCAAGGCUUCGCGCGGACGGAGCGGACGAUGGCAGAUUAGGUAGUUGGGGGGAUAAAAGCUUACCAAGCCGACGAUCUGUAGCUGGUCUGAGAGGACGACCAGCCAAACUGGGACUGAGACACGGCCCAGACUCCUACGGGAGGCAGCAGUGGGGAAUUUUGGUCAAUGGGCGAAAGCCUGAUCCAGCCAUGCCGCGUGGAGGAUGAAGGCCUUCGGGUUGUAAACUGCUUUUGUACGGAACGAAACGGCUCUUUCUAAUAAAGAGGGCUAAUGACGGUACCGUAAGAAUAAGCACCGGCUAACUACGUGCCAGCCGCCGCGGUAAUAC